GGUGUGGGGAUAAUAUGUAAGACUGCAGUGAAGCGAUGUACCAGAUUAAUCCCUGGCCAAAGAACAGUUCUCCACAGUCACUGUCCACAUGGGUCAGUGGGACCAAGAAGCACUCUGCUAAUGUGUGGACUCUGACCAGCAACAUCCAGCAAGACCCAGACAGCGUUUUCUAUCUCCCAGCUGGAGUUUUUUGUCUGUCUGUGACUGGAGAGUCAGAUUUUUGUUGAGCUUCACACUUGCAGAGGCUAAUACACGCUACUGAUCCCUGAUGGGAGAAUCAUCAAUUUUGCCAACAAAGAAGCCUGGUGGAUGUUUGUUUACAGACUGAUGAUGGGACAUCAUGCUCUGCAUCUUCAAAUCUUUUUGCAGGAUCAGAAAACAAAACCAGGAGGUCCGUAAAUGUUUCUUCUCCAGUUGGAUGAUGAUAAGACUGUGACACAGGAUGCCACCUUGAGUCUAGUGAUGAAGCAAAGCUCAGGAAGAAGUGUGAUUAAAUGGUACCCACAUGUGUGCUGCUGAGAAGGAUGUACAGGGGCACCUGCAGCCAAAUCCAAGCCUCCUCAGGAGUGUUUCUGAGUGAGGGAGAGAGGAGUCAUCAUCCAGGUAAAGUGACGUGGAUCAGUGGACACACUUGUCUCCCCUUUAAAGGAGAUACUCGUAGAGAGAGACGAUCCGAGUCAUCCUUAAAUAUGGGCAGGAUAUCAGUCUUGGACUGUCUAACCUGCAGGAGCAGCACUGAAUGACCACCACACAUGAGCAUGUUCCUGCAACAUUCAGCAUCUGAUCUGCCAUCUGUGUGCUUCUGCUUUUGUGUCAAAUGUCAAACAGCUGGAGAGAAAACUACACCAGUGUACUGGGAUGUUUCACCAACACAUGCCAGAUGCUGUUCCUU